AUAUUCGUGAACCAGAUGGUAGUGACGGAUCGCGCAGGUUCGUAUCCCCUUAUUGGAUUGGGGGUGCGAUGAGCCGGUUCCUGGAAAUAGCUCCAUCGACAUUGACCGUACCCUAAACCGACACAGGUGGACUGGUAGAGUAUACCAAGGCGCUUGAGAGAACUAUACUGAAGGAACUCGGCAAAUUGCAUGCGUAACUUCGGGAUAAGCAUGACUUCUAUCGGGGCAACCCUUUAGGAGUGGCACAAAAGAGGGGGUGGCGACUGUUUACUAAAAACACAGGGCUCUGCGAAGUUGCAAAACGACGUAUAGGGUCUGACGCCUGCCCGGUGCCGGAAGGUUAAAAGGAGAGGUGCAAGCUUUGAAUUGAAGCCCCGGUAAACGGCGGCCGUAACGAUAACGGUCCUAAGGUAGCGAAAUUCCUUGUCGGGUAAGUUCCGACCUGCACGAAUGGCGUAACGACUUCCCCACUGUCUCCAGUAUAGACUCAGCGAAAUUGAAUUCCCCGUGAAGAUGCGGGGUUCCUGCGGUCAGACGGAAAGACCCCAUGCACCUUUACUAUAGCUUUACGCUGGCAUUUGUGUCGGCAUGUGCAGGAUAGGUGGUAGGCUUUGAAGCAAGGACGCUAGUUCGUGUGGAGCCAAAAGAUGAGAUACCACCCUUAUCGUCAUAGAUGUCUAACCGCGGCAUAACAGUGUCCGGGACAGCGUAUGGUGGGUAGUUUGACUGGGGCGGUCGCCUCCCAAAGAGUAACGGAGGCGCGCGAUGGUGGGCUCAGAACGGUCGGAAAUCGUUCGACGAGUGCAAUGGCAUAAGCCUGCCUGACUGCGAGACCGACAGGUCGAGCAGAGACGAAAGUCGGUCAUAGUGAUCCGGUGGUCCCGCGUGGAAGGGCCAUCGCUCAACGAAUAAAGGUACGCUGGGGAUAACAGGCUGAUGAUGCCCAAGGGUCCAUAUCGACGGCAUCGUUUGGCACCUCGAUGUCGGCUCAUCACAUCCUGGGGCUGGAGCAGGUCCCAAGGGUAUGGCUGUUCGCCAUUUAAAGUGGUACGUGAGCUGGGUUUAGAACGUCGUGAGACAGUUCGGUCCCUAUCUGCCGUGGGUGUAGGAAUAUUGAGAAGAGCUGACCCUAGUACGAGAGGACCGGGUUGGACGAAUCUCUGGUGGACCUGUUGUGGCGCCAGCCGCAUUGCAGGGUAGCUAAAUUCGGACGGGAUAACUGCUGAAAGCAUCUAAGCAGGAAGCCUCCUUCAAAACUAGUAUUCCCUUGAGAGCCGUGGAAGACCACCACGUCGAUAGGCCGGGUGUGGAAGCGCAGCAAUGUGUGAAGCUUACCGGUACUAAUAGCUCGAUUGGCUUGAUCGA
rnacentral:rRNA from 1 species